ensembl:lncRNA
CCUAAUUCUGAGUCCUGAUCCAUGAGUUUGAACGAGAAUGCACCCGUUGGCGGUAAUGCAUAGACGGACAUUAUAUGAAAAUAUGGAAAGUGCCAAAUAAGGUGCCUAUUAAUAAUACAGAUAUCAAUAUUUUACGUGUGGCAUCGAUGCAUCGUAUCGUCAGACAUCAUGUCGAUGUAUCGAUGAAUCAUUACACCCCUAGACCAAAAUGUAUUGCAGAUAUGUUCACUGAAUAUUAACCUAACAGACCACUCAGAUCAUUAGGAUCGAGUCAGUUAGAAAUACCAAGGGUUCACACAAAACAAGGGGAGUCCGCCUUUAGUUACUAUGCCGCCCACAGUUGGAAUCAGCUUCCAGAAGAGAUCAGAUGUGCUAAAACAUUAGUCACAUUUAAAUCUAGACUCAAAACUCAUCUGUUUAGCUGUGCAUUUAUUGAAUGAGGACUGUGCAAUGUCCGAACUUAUUGCACUGUAUUUGACAUAUUCACUGUUUUUUAUGUAAAAUUGUUUUCUAUUUUUUAACUGUUUUAAAUUCAUUUUAAAUAAGUCAAUUUUUAAAUCAUUUUCAAAGGUUUAAAAUUGCUUGUUUUAUUUUUGUUAUUUUUCUUCAUGAUUAUUUUACUUUCUUUUAUGUAAAGCACUUUGAAUUACCAUUGUGUACGAAAUGUGCUAUAUAAAUAAACUUGCCUUGCCUAGUCCAUUUUUUAAUGGUGGAAUUUGGCCAAAUCAACCAUUUUUUUUAAUAAAACUUCCAUUUUGCCUGUUCCUAUUGGUUGGCUGUGGUCACAUGAGACAUUCAUCAUAUUUGUUUACCACUGCUGUUAGCCUCUGGAAAUCACCCAAAGUUCAUAGGGUUACUUUAGUUCACAGGUGCAAUUCACAGGGGUUAUUUUAGUUCACAGAUACAAUUCAAUGGAAGACUACCAGUACCUCCCAGUGGGAGGGCCUUUAUACAUCCAAUCCUCUUCAACACUAUCAGUACUUGGGAAUAACUCAGCAUAUUGAUCAGUAUAUUGAUUACUUUCAUAGUCAUGCAUAAUAUUUUAAGUAAGAUAAUACCAUAUUAAGUAAAUAACAAUAUAAUAGAAUAAGACAAUAGAGCGCAUGAUUUUACCAAGUUUUGCUUAAUAUUCAUGUGGUUCGCCUGUACUGUACCUGUGAAGUGAUGUAAACUAAUUUACAGUGCUUUUACCACAAUUAUCGUGUUUAAAAUACCAAUGCCGUAGUAAAGCGUUGGUGGUUUCGUGGUUAUUGUGUUAUUUAACGCAUUGUCACCACUGCUUAGUUACAUAGUUGGUAUAGAACUGUAGUUACUGUAGUAAAGCCAUGGUAAUAUUUCGCAGGGCUGUGGUUGUCUCUUUGUAAGUUUUGAUGUGCUUCGAAUUAUUAUUUUGAAAUAAAUGCAUAAUGUUAUCUGCAUUAUAUACUUGAAGCAUAACUGGGAGGUUAUAUACAUGCAUGCUUUUUUGUACAGUUAUACUUUGCAAAAUGAGGUAACAGCAGGGUGUGAAAACGACCCCCAGCUGUGCCCUGUGGAUGGGGGAUGGGGGACAGAGAGCAAAGCUUUGCAGGGCCAUGCACCGGUGUCUAUGUGACCUGUCUGGCCUUUGAUAUUUUGCUCUUUUUGAGUAGAUAAGAGAUUUUGACUAGUAGAGAUUUUUUAGUGAAGAAAACAAGUGUCUUCAAUAAAAUGUAUUUAUCUAUUUAUUUAACAAAAAAAAAAAAAAGUUAAUUCAGAUGUUAUGUAUUUAUACGUGUCCAAUUUUAAGUUCUAACAGAUACUGUAGAGCUAAAGUGAAAUAAAACUCAUACAUUGGGAUGAAAAUUAGCCCCUUUUCGCCAAAUAAUGAAUUUAAUACCUUAACCAACAUAUUCCUUGUAUACUUUGAUGGUUUAAUUAAACUUGUAGGGUCAAUAAAAGCAAAUAUUGUGCAAAUGUCCAUUUGGACAACACUUUUGGCCACUACUGUAGAUCUGACAAGUGUAGAUGUGUGUUUUAACCACUGUGUCAUUUGUUUCUUUUGUGUCAUGUAGAAGAUGGAUUACAGUGUCCAUUUCCGCAGGGAGACCUCCAGUGAGCUCACCCUUAAACCCUCCUGGGGUGGGAAAAAUCCCAGCACGGGAUGCUCAUGGCCUGCUGCAAGGGUGAAGGAGGAGGCCAUCGCUUGUGUGGCAGCAGCGGGAGGUGACACGUCCAAUCGCCAGUUUGUGCUGAGUGAAAGUGCCCUGCAGUUUGGCCAGUAGUGGGGUUAAACCUUUAAAUGGUUGCUUUCCAAUGAUGUUAGUUAUGGCCUUGCAUCAGCGGGAGCAUGACACCACCCAAUCUGCUGUCAUGUCAUUGCUGCUGUAUGCUGGCCUGUUUCCUGACAUGGUGGCUGCCAUCAGCGAGCGCCGGGUCAGAGAAGGCACUGGCACACCAGUCCAGGAAGACUUGGUGCUUGUUGGAUUUGGCAACUUUGCCACCGUGUCCUUUAAGGACCUUUAUGAGGCGAUGGACCUCGACAGAAAAGAGUAUGGGUUCACAUCUCUAACAGAAGAUGCAGACAGUAGAGAAUGUGUAGUGUUGGGGCUUGAGCUAAUUCUGUGUCCCUCCAUUUCAGCUUCUUCAAGUGGCUGAUGAAGCAGACAGCCAGACCGGGUACAAAGAUGGAAACUCUGCAGAAGUACAUUCAGAGAAGAGAUGCUGAGAUGCUGUCAGAAUCAGCGCCUCCAGUGGUCGCCUCAAUCUCAGCUUCUGCAGAGGAACCAUCUGAUGAAGAUCUGCUUGCUGCAGCGGCACAUAUAGAUGUUCCAGGUGAGCAUUACCUUCCCUUUAAUGGGAUUACAUUUGUGGUUUAAUUAAAGAAUACCGUGCCUUUGUAAAUUGCAUAACCUGUAUGGUUAUUAUGUAUUAUCGGCCUUCAGAUGGAUGGUUUUGAAAACAAUAAGGUAGGAGGUGUACUACACCUUCUGUUCAUGCAGUCUAACAUGGCUUUCUUUCUUUG